rnacentral:rRNA from 1 species
GUGGGGAAUUUUGGACAAUGGGGGAAACCCUGAUCCAGCGACGCCGCGUGAAGGAUGAAGGCCUUCGGGUUGUAAACUUCUUUUGGAGGGGACGAAUAAAUUGACGGUACCCUCAGAAAAAGCCACGGCUAACUACGUGCCAGCAGCCGCGGUAAUACGUAGGUGGCGAGCGUUACUCGGAAUUACUAGGCGUAAAGCGUAUGUAGGCGGUUGUAUAAGUCUAUGGUGAAAUUUCCUGGCUCAACUGGGAAGGGACAUAGAUACUGUAUGGCUUGAGUGUUGGAGGGGGAGACGGAAUUCCUGGUGUAGCGGUGAAAUGCGUAGAUAUCAGGAGGAACACCGAUGGCGAAAGCAGUCUCCUGGCCAAAUACUGACGCUGAGGUACGAAAGCUAGGGUAGCAAACAGGAUUAGAAACCCCUGUAGUCC